AUGGUGCCGAAGGUGAAGGAUAUGAGGGUGAGAAUGACUACAUGGAAGUCUCAGAUGAAGAAGACGAGGAUAGGCAAGCUGACAACAGUGAUGACGGUGAUGAUAUUGUUCGCGCUAGGGGGGCUUGAGUUGACUCAGGAAGAGGAGUCAGAUCUAGAUGGGCCGCUUCCGCUCAACAACGGGUUCAUAGGGUUGGCAUUUGUGCACCGCCUCAUGAGGACUCAUGUUCUUUUGGGAAGCAUGAAUUACAAGGGCAUGAUAGUAGAGCGGCAGGUCAUUCAUGAAGCAGGGAACUUAAAGAGGGCACAAGAAAUAUUUUUUUUCAAGAAAAGCUCGUACAUGUGGUGCAAAUGCACUUGGAGAUGGUUGGAAUGCCAAAUUCAUCGCAGGCUGUUGUUGCUGCACAUACUGGACACCAAGAUGGAGCAUGACUGCUUGGAAAUCUCUAUGCCAAAGUAUUCACCGGCUGCUACACGAAAUGCAGAAGACAGGUAA
rnacentral:rRNA from 1 species